CAGCUCCUUAACAUGCAACACACAGCUGUCUGCCCGUUCGUCCUGUUACUGAUAACAGCUUUCUGCUGCGCCGGCUGUAACAAUCCUGCAGGGUAAUUAGUAGAGGUAUUUAAGUCUCUGUGUGUAUUAGUAUGUGUGUGUAUGUGUGUGUGUGGGUGGCAUACAAUGGUGCAAAAUGUAUGGAACCAAAUUUGCACAGCAAAUGGAACCAUAUUUGCUUGCUAAAUGCAAUGCAACACAAAUAGGAUGAAUAAUCCACGUCAUGUGGCAUACAAAGCACCAAUCAAA